AUGUUGGAAGCUCAGAAAUGGAGAGCGUCUGCAUGUGUUGGGCAUGUUACCCGAAACUGCAUUCCUCUCCUGCAGUCAAGGCAAAAGUCACAAGCAAGCCGAAGAACAGGAAAGGAAAGGGUAUACUUGCAACAUGCAAAGGCAGACACUGGGUAUUUCCCUAAACAGCGUCUCCUUGGACAACAAAACUGGUUAAGUGUGGAGCUAAGGGUGCGUACAUAUACAUGA
rnacentral:lncRNA from 1 species